rnacentral:rRNA from 1 species
UGGGGAAUUUUUCGCAAUGGGGGAAACCCUGACGAAGCAACGCCGCGUGGAGGAUGAAGGCCUUCGGGUUGUAAACUCCUGUCGACCGGGACGAAAGUAGUCCGACCCAAUACGUCGGGCUAUCGACUGUACCGGUGGAGGAAGCCACGGCUAACUCUGUGCCAGCAGCCGCGGUAAUACAGAGGUGGCAAGCGUUGUUCGGAAUUACUGGGCGUAAAGGGCUCGUAGGCGGCCAACUAAGUCCGACGUGAAAUCCCCAAGCUUAACUUGGGAACUGCGUCGGAUACUGGAUGGCUUGAAUUCGGGAGAGGGAUGCAGAAUUCCAGGUGUAGCGGUGAAAUGCGUAGAUAUCUGGAGGAAUACCGGUGGCGAAGGCGGCAUCCUGGACCGACAUUGACGCUGAGGAGCGAAAGCCAGGGGAGCAAA